CUCGUAGGCGGUUCGUCGCGUCCGGUGUGAAAGUCCAUCGCUUAACGGUGGAUCCGCGCCGGGUACGGGCGGGCUUGAGUGCGGUAGGGGAGACUGGAAUUCCCGGUGUAACGGUGGAAUGUGUAGAUAUCGGGAAGAACACCAAUGGCGAAGGCAGGUCUCUGGGCCGUCACUGACGCUGAGGAGCGAAAGCGUGGGGAGCGAGCA
rnacentral:rRNA from 1 species